rnacentral:lncRNA from 1 species
AUGACUGCUUCAAAGAUCAAUGGAAGAAUUGGACCAGUUGUGACAACUAAGAGUGCUCCAGAGGAAAGGAGAGGUGAACAUGGCUUGGAGAAGACUAAAAACCAGGGUGGUGGCCUAGAGAAUCUGGCCCAGGUUCCUGAAGGAAGCCAAGUAGUAGGAUGGAUCAGAGAAAAAGUCCACUGCAGAAACAACUCCAAAGAUGAGAUAACCAAGCGCCAGAGCACCAGGAGGACAACCAGCUCCAUCUGUUCUAGGUCACAUAGCCAUUGAGUGGCAGAGCCAUCAUUUGAGCACAGAUUCCAUGACUCCUAAGGGUGUGAGAAGAAUGAUGCCACUCAGGAGGUGACCCAAAGGGAGGUGGCAGCCUGGAGAAUCCUGCAGGGUAAGGAGAAGGGAGGCUCACCAAGCAGAGCUCAGAGUGAUGGGCUGGCAAUAGUGGCAGGCCUGGAUUAUAAAGACCCAACAUCAAACCCAACUCCUCCCUCAGGAGGCUGUCCCAGCCUUUCCCUGGCUCUGACUCUCAGCACAUCUGUCCUCUCUCAGCACAUCUGUCCUCCCACCAGCUUUGGACUAUAGAGGCAGCAGCCUCUCUGGCCAAGUUAGAACACUGAGGAGAUCUGGGUUCUAGUGUCAGCUCUGCUAACUGUCACUGGGUCCAUCCUUGUGUGUCUCCCUGUCCUGCCCUGUAACAGGAGGGCAUGAGGACUUUCCCCAUCAAUACCACCCCAUUCAGAUCUGCUGAGAGCUGCUGGUAUUGGGAGGGUCUGAGGGUCCUUCAGGUCACAAAGGGUUUGUGCGAUAAUGAAGCCAAAGUCAGGAAGUCACAGGGACCACACUGGCCUUGGCUGCUUCCUUGGUCAAAUUCCUCACGUCCAUCCCAUCCCCUUUCCCCCUUUGGUCCCAAUGGAAGCCAUUGGAGAAAGUAGGAUGGAGAAGAGGAAAGUCCAUGAGAAAAACAACUCCAUAGAAAUACAGAAGAAAAACAUUUGUUUGAUCAUAUGGUGUGAUGGGGAUAGGUUUGGGGAUGUAGACUCACACUAGUGUAAACGUCAAUAAUAUGGAAAGAGGUGUCUUGAUCAGUGACACACUUAAAAGUCAGGGGAAUUGCCCAUUGUGAAUGGGAGGAGGGAGGGAAAGGGGAGGGAAGGGAAAGAACAUGAAUAAUGUAACCAUGGAAAGUAGACAAUGGCUGGGACUGGAGCUCUCUGGCCCUCUGUUCUCUUUCCCAAAUUGAGUCCCAGGAAAUUGUGUGACUUUGGGCAAAAUGCUCCCUCUCUCUUGGCCAUGUUUCUGCCAGUUAUAAAGAUAGAGAA